AUUGAACGCUGGCGGAAUGCUUUACACAUGCAAGUCGAACGGUAACAGGUCUUCGGAUGCUGACGAGUGGCGAACGGGUGAGUAAUAUAUCGGAACGUGCCCAGUCGUGGGGGAUAACGGAGCGAAAGUUACGCUAAUACCGCAUACGAUCCACGGAUGAAAGCGGGGGAUCGCAAGACCUCCCGCGGUUGGCACGGCCGAUAUCAGAUUAUGUAGUGUGUGGGGUAAAGGAUCACCAAGCCAACGAUCUGUGGCUGGUCUGAGAGGACGACCAGCCACACUGGAGCUGAGACGCGGUGCAGACUCCUACGGGAGGCAGCAGUGGGGAAUUUUGGACAAUGGACGCAAGUCUGAUCCAGCCAUUCCGCGUGCAGGAUGAAGGCCCUCGGGUUGUAAACUGCUUUUGUACGGAACGAAAAGGUCUCUAUUAAUACUGGGGGCUCAUGACGGUACCGUAAGAAUAAGCACCGGCUAACUACGUGCCAGCCGCCGCGGUAACAC
rnacentral:rRNA from 1 species